GUCCACAUGUCUAAAUGUGUGUUCUGAUGCUCUGAAAUGCAAGAGAUAUAUUAAAUUCUUUGUGAAACAUCACUGUUUGAUAAAGGAUAUCCGUAUUUAGCAUCCUUGUUUUUCUUUGUGCUAAAGUGGAUACAGCUGUUGGGGCAGAAGAGACGGGACCAGCUGCUGGCCACAUUUCCUGCUUUAUUUUAAAAGGUAGUAUAAGAAAUAAGGAAACAGAGGUAAUAUCAGGGCUUCUGCUGUCUUUUAUUUUUAAAAUGUUCAUAAUUAAGUAUUUUCCAGCAGUCCAAAGAUGUAAGUUAUCUUACACAUAAGAUGUUUUAUUUUGUUAUUUGGUUAUGGAAAUGGAAUCUUGUUCUUGCACAACUAACUGUAAAUGUUUUGUUGCUAGAUAAUAUGAUUUUGAGACCUACAUUAGUCUCUGGUUUCAGUAUAUCACAUUUUGUAAAAUUAUCUACUGCACUUGAGCAUGAAUGGGUAGUAGCCAAACUCACAACUUGGAGUGACGGACCUGCUUCUACAAGGGUAGGAACAAGCCCCUACAAUGCAGCUGCAUGGAUUUUAGUGCCUACUGAAUUAUAUAUAUAUACAUAUAUAUAUAAACCAAAAGUAGUUGGAAAUUUAUUUCAAAUGACUAAUUUGUGCUUUUUCUGAAGUAUGUUAAAUGUAGCUUUUGAAACAGAAGCCU
rnacentral:lncRNA from 1 species